rnacentral:rRNA from 1 species
GGCAUACGGCUCAGUAACGCGUAGUCAACCUACCCUAUGGACAAGAAUAAUCUCGGGAAACUGAGCAUAAUUCUUGAUAGAUCAUAAUGCCUGGAAUGGUUUAUGGUUAAAAUGAUUCGUCGCCAUAGGAUGGGACUGCGGCCUAUCAGCUUGUUGGUGAGGUAAUGGCCCACCAAGGCGAUUACAGGUACGGGCUCUGAGAGGAGAAGCCCGGAGAUGGGUACUGAGACAAGGACCCAGGCCCUAUGGGGCGCAGCAGGCGAGAAAACUUUGCAAUGUGCGAAAGCACGACAAGGUUAGUCCGAGUGAUUUCUGCUAAAGAGAUCUUUUGCUAGUUAUAAAACCACUAGUGAAUAAGGGGUGGGCAAGUUCUGGUGUCAGCCGCCGCGGUAAAACCAGCACCUCAAGUGGUCAGGAUGAUUAUUGGGCCUAAAGCAUCCGUAGCCGGCUCUGUAAGUUUUCGGUUAAAUCCAUACGCUCAACGUAUGGGCUGCCGAAAAUACUGCAGAGAUAGGGAGUGGGAGAGGUAGACGGUACUCGG